rnacentral:misc_RNA from 1 species
UGGUUCUGGCAUCGAUGAAGAACGCAGCGAAAUGCGAUAAGUAGUGUGAAUUGCAGAAUUCAGUGAAUCAUCGAAUCUUUGAACGCACAUUGCGCCCCUUGGUACUCCAUGGGGCAUGCCUGUUCGAGCGUCAUUUACACCCUCAAGCUCUGCUUGGUGUUGGGCGGCUGUCCCGCGUGCCUGCGCGGACUCGCCCCAAAGCUAUUGGCAGCCACGCCGCCGGCUCCUCGCGCAGCAGAAUCAGCGCUCGGAUGCCGGCGGAGCGGCGUCCAUCAAGACCCCUCGCACUCUUGACCUCGGAUCAGGUAGGGAUACCCGCUGA